GCUUGCUUGUUGCCCGCUUGCUUGUUGCCCGCUUGCUUGUUGCCCGCUUGCUUGCCCGACGCCUCAUUGGAUUUUUCCAAUAGACUGCUUCCCGGCUUCACUCUGUUUGAUCACGAGAGUUGCUCAGCCAAGGCCUCACUCAUCUUGGAAUGGCCAAAAUGACACCCACUUGUUAUUGCUCAAGUCGUUUACGAUUGUUGAAAGCCAGAAGCGACAAAUAGCCAAUACGCAGCUCAAUACACAAGCGAGGGAGUCUGUGGGCCUUUAUCUGCUGCGUGGCCAGUUUACCUUGAAACCUAUUUGAAGUCAUUGUCAUCCGGGCUGCUUGAAUGUGUCCCAGAGCCUCAUCUUAACAAGUAGCGGCAGUUCACAACUACCUGAAAUAGUGGAUCCCCCCCCCCCCCGACACACACACGCACACACACACACACACACACACACAGAGUGUCUGCCUCGGCGCAUAACAAUACAAGCGUUUCCCACCGUUGUCAUCCGCCCUCCACUUGUUUCUCUUGACCCUGAGAAUGGCCUUUACAGCCUUAAUAGCCACAACACGGCAAUAGGACGGCAAAUUGAAACCGCCGCCGAGCGCAUUUGGGAGUCCAGGCCAACAAUACGCUCGUUUGCUUUCAAAUAUCUAUACAGUGGUACUGUCUGUACAAUACGUACUGGAUGUAGCUUUUGAAAAAUAUUAGAUCAUUACAUUAUUUUCUUUGCCGUGAGCUUGUGCGACAGCGAGAGAGUGCGCGCGUGUGCGUGUGCGUGCGCGCGUGUGUGUGUGUGAGUAAAAGAGAGAGAGAGAGAAAGAGUGGUGACAUUAGCAAUAGACGGAUUGCUCUUCUAAGUCUCAUCCUACUGGUGAUUGAUCGGUUAACAACUAUUUCCCUGACAGACCCUUGAUUGAGUGAGUGCUGCGUGUCUUUUUUCUGUGUGCGUGUGUGAGAGCCUGACGGCGGUGGCCUCAGCCUCAGCCUCAGCUUGGGGUCUUUCAGCUCUUUUUCUGUGAUUUUCCUUACAUAUUCAUUGUGCUGCUGCCGCUGCUGCCGCCGGUGCCGCCGGCGCUGCUAAACAAAGGUUCUGCAUUUCACCCUCUGUGCUAGUGACAGGGGUAGCUCCAGGUAUCCUAACCAUUAGGAUGGAAAGAUUCUCUGCCAACCUCAUUGUUGUCCAUGGCUUGGCAUAUUGCUGACAAUCGUGGCCAAUCCAGGGCCAUGUUAUGAGAGAUGAGAGCAUGAAAUCAAUUGAAAGAAAAAAGACCAUGACAAAAAUGAUGUCAGUGUCUCUGCGGCAGGUGGGCGGGCUCAGGCAGCCAGGCAGGCAGCCGGCCAGGCAGCCAGCCAGCCACGCAGACAGCUACGCAGGCAGGCAGGCAGCCAGGCAGCCAGGCAGCCAGGCAGGCAGCCAGGCAGCCAGGCAGGCAGCCAGGCAGCCAGGCAACUUUGUGCAUCGAUUGGGUCAAACACCAGAGAGAGACUCGGAUGGCCUUCAAUCUGGCUCCCAGUUCAGCACCUAUGAUGGCAUAGCUCGCUCAUGUGUCACCACCAACGUCAACUGCAAUUGUCAAUUGAUAUGAACAUUUGAAGUUCAGCUUUGCAGGCACGCUUACUUCUUGACUUGUUCUAAUGGCGAGAAAAGAGCAAUGGGCAAUGUGUCAGACCCAGGUUGAGUGAAAGAGCGAGCUGACAGCUGUGUGCACUGCAAGGCGCCCGGCCGGCCAUUUAGGCCAUUUGAUUGGCGGGCGGGCGGGGGUUGAUUGAUAAGGACCCCCCCUGCUAUUUCAGUGACAGCUUCUGUCAGAGAGCCACCUCACGUCAAAUCAGAUGAAUCAACUGCUCAAGCCUGCCCCCACCCCGACACACACACACACACAGGCAGUACAACUGUGAAUCCAAUAAAAGCAUGCUCAAAGGUUUUGGGAAGGAACCUUGCAAAUUUGAAAAAGCAUCCCAAACAAAGCAAAGCCUAAUGCUCCAUAGCUUUCAAAUUCCAUACAAAGAAAGCUCAGCUUGGAAUUAACCAGACCGCUUGAAUGGGGUGUUUUGGACCAAACAUGGCAGGCCGUUCAUCCAAUCAAAUCAAAGUUCUGCGUGCUCAGAGGUCUCCGUCAACCUUGCUGGCUAUUUCAGUCCGCUGAUAAGUCCGUGGAAUAGGGAAAAGGUGGAAUGUUCUGAGAAGGUCAAGUGAGUUCACGCUCCAAACUAGGCCUGAUAAGACGAGCUGCGUGAAAACACACACUCCGAUUCGUCUGUAAGACAGGCAGGUGUACCAAGCUGACCCCCGACUGGACAUGAAUUCAUUACAGCGUCUUUAUGGGCAGAAAGCUGUGGUUGGGCAGAUGUUUUCUACAAUCAAAAGUACGGCUAGUAUCAGACAACCCCCACCCCGUUGUAAAGGUGCGCAAAUCGAUCCACUCUGAAUGUGCCGUCAUUCCGGUCGGCUGGAAUGACGGCGAAGGUUUCCGUGAGUUGUCAGGGUUAUCACCCCACGGCAGAUAGCCAAGUAACCUUCUCUGUCGCCACCUGCCGUGAUAGGUGGAGCACAGAUAACGGCUAAAGUGUCACAUACCCGUGCGUGCGUGCGUGCGUGCGUGCGUGCGAGCGUGCGUGCGUGCGAGCAAGCGUGCGUGCGUGCGAGCAAGCGUGCGUGCGAGCGUGCGAGCGGCUAACCUCCCAGAUCAUCCCAAAUGCAUGAAGAAAGAACUUUUUUCAAAGAUGAAUGUUUAUAAAAAUGGCUAGCAACAUCGAUUUGCAAUUUUAGUACCGCCGCAAUGUCUUUGCGGGCCAAAUCUAAUGACAUUGCGGCUGAGCAAAUUUAGCUGGCUGGUGGGCCAGAGUUUGACGGCCCUGCUCUUCCCCUGGCUGGGCCUUCUUGGAAGUCAUUGAAAAUGUCAUUGAAGAAGUUGACAAUGUGACUAAAGACCCCACUCUAUAGUUGACCUUGACAAAUCUAAGAUUUACAACCACUGAUUUGAAAAUCAGUAUGGAUACAAUUGUAGCUCUCCAGGUCCUUGCUUGCCAGUCAUGUGUGUGUGCAGGUUCAGCCGUGUCAGACUACUAGCAUGGUGGCGGCGGCGGUGGACUACUGCGCUCCGAGAGCGACAUAUGAUUAAAUGAUCACAGCGGGCGCCUCUCUGAAGGAGAAACAACAGGACACAAGACAAGCAAAGAGAAGGUCCCUGAGGGUUUCUAAAGAUGAUCAAAACGAAAACCAAAAGUGUCGGGAUGGAAAGCCAAAGUGGUGAGCCCGGAGGAGGGCUGGACUAGGAUGUGUCCGUAGCACUCCAUGAUAAACACAUCAAGUCCAAGGACAACACCAUUGAUGGAAGGUUUGGGCGUCCAUAUUCUUUUCCCCAGGUUCUUUUGGAGCUCCAAAUACACUAGGUGGUGAUGUCUUUGUCAAUAUUCCAUCAAUGUUAGCUGAUUCUUUCUUUUCUGCUUUGGCUGUCAAAUGUGGAGUCAUCAAUAAUUGAUUUCCAUAACUCUGCUUGGGGAACGGAGAGAGACCGUAAAGUA